ACAGGUAUGAAAUAUACUAAUUUACGUUACCGUUAUCAUGCGAGUCCGCACACAUGCGGGUACAAAGAUCGUGAUUUUUCGUUUUACAAAUACUAUUCCGCGGUCGCCCGUGCGCUCCCGUUGCUACGAAUACCCACUGACAACUACCGGUUGCUGAUGUCAAGACAAUAGAUUUUACCUAUACGAAAUAUAAUUACAACAUUCGUACGAGUCCGCACACAUGUGGGUAUAAAAGACGAUCACGACCCAUAUCUUUCACUGGAACGUAAGUUCGUGAAUAUAGACAUCGACUCGACAAACAUGUUCACCGUCAAAGUACAAAUAAUAACUCCAUCACGGUACGUUAAUAUAACGCCAGAUAUUCUAACG